UCUAUAUUAUCCUCAAGUGGAUGGGUUCAGAAUUUAAGUCAACAUAUCAAAUAACGCAAAUCUUUUUAUUUGACAUCUUCAUGCAGAUUCUUACAGAAGGAUUGAGUUACUGUAACUGAAGACAUGAAAACUAACCAGCAGAAAGUGCUCUGAGGUUAUGUUUGGUUGGUAGUGAACCCAGAUGGCUCUGCGAGUCUCCAGCAGUUUGUAUGCUUAGGUGUGGCUAACUCCUCCAAGCCGUGGGCAAUGCGGUACCUCCAAUCUCUGGACAACAAUAGCAGAGAACUAUCUUAGGCCCUUAAAUAACUGCCAGGUCUUUCAUCAAUCUAAUUUAGAGGUUCCCAGCAAAUGAAUCUAAGCUUCACAUUUGCUGCAUUGCAGAAAUAGGACAAGUUUUAAGAAGCAUGUUAUCCUGAGUGG